AUUGAACGCUAGCGGGAUGCUUUACACAUGCAAGUCGAACGAGUGGCGGACGGGUGAGUAAUAUAUCGGAACGUGCCCAGUAGGGGGGGAUAACUACUCGAAAGAGUGGCUAAUACCGCAUACUAUUGGAGCGGCAGAUAGGGUAUUAGCUAGUUGGUGGGGUAAAGGCUCACCAAGGCAAAUAUCCGUAGUUGGUCUGAGAGGACGACCAGCCACACUGGGACUGAGACACGGCCCAGACUCCUACGGGAGGCAGCAGUGGGGAAUUUUGGACAAUGGGUGAAACCCUGAUCCAGCCAUCCCGCGUGUAUGAGAAGGCCUGCGGGUUGUAAAGUACUUUUGGCAGAGAGGCGGUAUCUGCAGAAUAAGCACCGGCUAACUACGUGCCAGCCGCCGCGGUAAUAC
rnacentral:rRNA from 1 species